UACGAAGGGGGCUAGCGUUGCUCGGAAUUACUGGGCGUAAAGAGCGCGUAGGCGGUCUGUUAAGUGAGAAGUGAAAUCUCCAGGGCUCAACCCGGAAACUGCUUUUCAUACUGGCAGACUUGAGGGAUGCAGAGGUGAAUGGAAUUCCUGGUGUAGCGGUGAAAUGCGUUGAUAUCAGGAGGAACACCCAUGGCGAAGGCAGUUCACUGGGCAUCAUCUGACGCUGAGGCGCGAAAGCGUGGGUAGCAAACAGG
rnacentral:rRNA from 1 species